rnacentral:rRNA from 1 species
CAAUAGCGUAUAUUAAAGUUGUUGCGGUUAAAAAGCUCGUAGUUGGAUUUCUGCUGAGAACGACCGGUCCGCCCUUUGGGUGUGUAUCUGGCUCUUUCUUGGCAUCUUCUUGGUGAACGUUGCUGCACUUGACUGUGUGGAGCGCUACCCAGGACUUUUACUUUGAGGAAAUUAGAGUGUUUCAAGCAGGCAUACGCCUUGAAUACAUUAGCAUGGAAUAAUAAGAUAGGACCUCGGUUCUAUUUUGUUGGUUUCUAGAGCUGAGGUAAUGAUUAAUAGGGAUAGUUGGGGGCAUUCGUAUUUAACUGUCAGAGGUGAAAUUCUUAGAUUUGUUAAAGACGAACUACUGCGAAAGCAUUUGCCAAGGAUGUUUUCAUUAA